rnacentral:rRNA from 1 species
GAUUAUGGCUCAGGAUGAACGCUAGCGGCAGGCUUAACACAUGCAAGUCGAGGGGCAGCGGGUUGUAGCAAUACAAUGCCGGCGACCGGCGAAAGGGUGAGUAACGCGUGAGCAACAUGCCCGAUAGUGGAGGAUAGUCGAUGGAAACGUCGCGUAAUACUCCGUAACAUACGGGACCGCAUGAUUCUGUAUUAAUAGAUCUAUUGCUAUCGGAUUGGCUCGCGUACCAUUAGCUAGUUGGCGGGGUAACGGCCCACCAAGGCGACGAUGGUUAGGGGUUCUGAGAGGAAGGUCCCCCACAUUGGAACUGAGACACGGUCCAGACUCCUACGGGAGGCAGCAGUGAGGAAUAUUGGACAAUGGCCGGAAGGCUGAUCCAGCCAUGCCGCGUGCGGGAAAGACGGCCCUAUGGGUUGUAAACCGCUUUUGUUGGGGAGCAAUAAGGGUCACGUGUGGCCUGAUGAGAGUACCCAGCGAAUAAGCAUCGGCUAACUCCGUGCCAGCAGCGGC